UCCAUCCUCUCUCUCCAUUCUCCGAACGCCACCAUCCUCUCUCCAUUCUCCGAACGCCACCGGUUCGAGAUCCCAGAAGAGCCCGGAAUCUCAGAGUACCGAACCCUAUGACUCUUCCAAACCCUCAUUGAAUCCCACCGAAAUUCUACUGUUCCGCGAAUUCUGCAUCUCUUAUUUCUUUUUUCCGUAUCUUGAUAUCUUCCAAUUCCUAGGUUUCUCUCUCGAUUACUCGGCCUUGCUGCCCAUGGAGUUGGCGAGGGCCGUCUGGGUUUCGGUCUUCCCUUCCAGCUAUGGUCGAUGGAGGAGCAAGUGGGGGAAUUCCAACCAAUACUCGAGGAUUAAUGCUAAGCGA
rnacentral:lncRNA from 1 species